GGCAGUUCUGAAAUAUUUUUUUGGAUGAUGUAUAUGAUAGACACAUUUGGAAACAGAAUUUUCUCUUUUUUCUUUUUACUAAUGCAAGCUUUACUAUACUUACAGUUUCCACCUGAAGAACUUAGUAAACUGACAUAUGGACCAAAAAAUUUUUAUUGGAGGGUUUGUGAUUCCAAAAUGGAUCAAAUGGUACCUCUAAAAUAGAUCAAGAACUCCUGGAAUUUUAGUGGGUGG
rnacentral:lncRNA from 1 species